rnacentral:rRNA from 1 species
UACGUAGGGGCCGAGCGUUGUCCGGGUUUAUUGGGCGUAAAGCGCGCGCAGGCGGCCUCGCGCGCCCGACGUGAAAGCCCCCGGCUUAACCGGGGAGGGUCGUUGGGGACGGCGGGGCUUGAGGGCGGGAGAGGGUGGUGGAAUUCCCGGUGUAGUGGUGAAAUGCGUAGAGAUCGGGAGGAACACCCGUGGCGAAGGCGGCCACCUGGGCCGACCCUGACGCUGAGGCGCGAAGGCGUGGGGAGCGAACGGG